UAGUGGCGCACGGGUGCGUAACGCGUGGGAAUCUGCCCUUAGGUACGGAAUAACUCAGGGAAACUUGUGCUAAUACCGUAUGAUGUCGAGAGACCAAAGAUUUAUCGCCUAGGGAUGAGCCCGCGUAGGAUUAGCUAGUUGGUGGGGUAAAGGCCUACCAAGGCUACGAUCCUUAGCUGGUCUGAGAGGAUGAUCAGCCACACUGGGACUGAGACACGGCCCAGACUCC
rnacentral:rRNA from 1 species